GCCUUCGUAGUGUAGUGGUCAACACACUCGGCGCGUAUUCGAGAGGCCCGUGGUUCGAGUCCCGGCAAGGGCA
rnacentral:tRNA from 1 species